CAGAGGUCUCAAGCGUUGUUCGGAUUCAUUGGGCGUAAAGGGUGCGUAGGUGGCGAUGUAAGUCUGGUGUGAAAUCUCAGGGCUCAACCUUGAAAUUGCAUUGGAUACUGCGUUGCUUGAGGAUUGUAGAGGAGAGUGGAAUUCACGGUGUAGCAGUGAAAUGCGUAGAUAUCGUGAGGAAGACCAGUUGCGAAGGCGACUCUCUGGGCAACUCCUGACACUGAGGCACGAAGGCUAGGGGAGCAAACGGGAUUAGAUACCCCGGUAGUCUUAGCAGUAAACGGUGCACGUUUGGUGUGGGCGGGUUCAGACCCCGUCCGUGCCGGAGCUAACGCGUUAAACGUGCCGCCUGGGAAGUACGGUCGCAAGAUUA
rnacentral:rRNA from 1 species